GGGCGUGGACGAGCAUACUGUUUAGUUUUACCAGCUGAGUUGCCUUCUUAUACCCUUGUCUAGAAUCUUUUUGUGAUCCUUUGACAGUUGCAAUGAUCCCGUUGAUUGGGUAUCAUAUGGAUUGGUGAUAAGAAGACGGGACAGCUUUGAUCCCAUGGAUGAAGGGUCGUCCAAAGAUGCCGUGAAAAGUGGAUUCUAC
rnacentral:lncRNA from 1 species